rnacentral:rRNA from 1 species
UACGGGGGGGGCAAGCGUUGUUCGGAAUUACUGGGCGUAAAGGGUUCGUAGGUGGCCACCUAAGUCAGACGUGAAAUCCCUCAGCUUAACUGGGGAACUGCGUCUGAUACUGGUUGGCUUGAGUGCAGGAGAGGAACGCGGAAUUCCAGGUGUAGCGGUGAAAUGCGUAGAUAUCUGGAGGAACACCGGUGGCGAAGGCGGCGUUCUGGACUGCAACUGACACUGAGGAACGAAAGCCAGGGGAGCAAACGGG